CGCUCCAACAGAGAGAAGGAAUGGCAUCGGUUGCUGCGGCAUCUCUUGAAGCUGAGUUGAGCAGGACACAGUCAGAGAUUGUUCUUGCACAGAAGAAGGAAAAAGAAGCAAGGGAGAAGAUGGUAGAGCUUCCCAAGCAACUCCAAGAGGCAUCCCAAGAGGCUGAUCGUGCAAAAUCACUAGCUCAAAUGGCGAGGGAUGAUCUGAAUAAGGCAAAGGAAGAAG
rnacentral:misc_RNA from 1 species